UACGGAGGGGGCUAGCGUUGUUCGGAAUUACUGGGCGUAAAGGGCUCGUAGGCGGCCAACUAAGUCGGACGUGAAAUCCCUCAGCUUAACUGGGGAACUGCGUCCGAUACUGGAUGGCUUGGAUUUGGGAGAGGGAUGCGGAAUUCCAGGUGUAGCCGGUGAAAUGCGUAGAUAUCUGGAGGAACACCGGUGGCGAAGGCGGCAUCCUGGACCAAUAUUGACGCUGAGGAGCGAAAAGCCAGGGGAGCAAACGGG
rnacentral:rRNA from 1 species